rnacentral:tRNA from 1 species
GCCCUAAUAGCUUAAAUCUUUAAAGCACUGGUCUUGUAAACCAGAGACUGAAGUAUAAAAUCUUCUUAGGGCU